GACGAACGCUGGCGGCGUGCUUAACACAUGCAAGUCGAACGGUGAAGCGAGUGCUUGCACUCGUGGAUCAGUGGCGAACGGGUGAGUAACACGUGAGUAACCUGCCCAUCACUCUGGGAUAAGCACUGGAAACGGUGUCUAAUACUGGAUACGACCAACCCUUGCAUGGGGUGUUGGUGGAAAGAUUUAUCGGUGAUGGAUGGACUCGCGGCCUAUCAGCUUGUUGGCGGGGUAAUGGCCCACCAAGGCGACGACGGGUAGCCGGCCUGAGAGGGUGACCGGCCACACUGGGACUGAGACACGGCCCAGACUCCUACGGGAGGCAGCAGUGGGGAAUAUUGCACAAUGGGCGGAAGCCUGAUGCAGCGACGCCGCGUGAGGGAUGACGGCCUUCGGGUUGUAAACCUCUUUCAGCAGGGAGGAAGCGAAAGUGACGGUACCUGCAGAAGAAGCACCGGCUAACUACGUG
rnacentral:rRNA from 1 species